rnacentral:rRNA from 1 species
UACAGAGGUCCCAAGCGUUGUUCGGAUUCAUUGGGCGUAAAGGGUGCGUAGGCGGCGCGGGGAGUCGGGUGUGAAAUCUCGGAGCUUAACUCCGAAACUGCAUUCGAUACUGCCGUGCUUGAGGACUGGAGAGGAGACUGGAAUUCAUGGUGUAGCAGUGAAAUGCGUAGAGAUCAUGAGGAAGACCAGUGGCGAAGGCGGGUCUCUGGACAGUUCCUGACACUGAGGCACGAAGGCCAGGGGAGCAAACGGG